CCGGGAUGCUACGAACGCGAUGGAAUUGGAUCGUCGGGAGCCCGAGUCUUCCAGUCAGUUCGCCCAGCUGGCGGCUGACACCUACAAGAACCAAUGAGCGGGCAGCUCGUCCAGCCACUACCUCCAUGGGCGGGGGAGCCAAUCCUGUUGCAGAUAGGCGGCCACGCCCAUCUCGGAAGACGCUGGGGAGAGCGUUGAAGGGCGGGUCCCAGGGACUAAAGGGACCUCGGGACUCUUUGGAGUCUGUCAGCCGGGUCAGGACCCGGGGAGGGAAGGUGGAGGUGGACCCUGACCCAGGCGAGUGACGGUGGGCCUGCACGAUCGCGGAGAUGGACUUGAGGAGCAGGAACGGGUCUAGGGGAUAACAUUCCUCUUUUCUCGCGUUGGAAUUCAAAGGCUGGACCGGAGGGCUCCUCAGAUGAUUGUGCACAAAGAGAGCAUCCCAUGAGCCUGGGCUCCCAUGGCAUCCAAAGACAAAGACAUAGUGCCCUCACUGGGCUCCCCCUGGGACGCCAUCCUCCAGGCUGCCAAAGACCAGCUCCCGUCCCUGGACUCCGACUCCUCCUUGUCAGACUUUGACGAAGAGGAACCAUUCAUCUUCCAGCGAAACCAACCUGUCCUGAUUCCAGACCUGGCUGAGGAGCUGGCUGAAGACCCUGCUGGUAGAGACAAAUCUGGGACCUGGGUCCCUGGAGCUAAAAAACCUCCACCUGAGGUCUGUGGGACGCAGGCUAAGGGAACCCAUGAUGUCUGGCACCUUGCUGGCAGAAGGGAGUAUGUGUCUGUCCACAGCUCUCGGGACUCUAAACAUCAGUAUGGGUCCACAGUGCCUAAAACUGCUGGUCUAGCAUGUGGUACACUCAGUCCUUCCACCUUCAGGGACAAACCAAAGUAUUCAGGGGCCCAACUGCUAAGCAUGUGCAUCUCUUUUCCCUAAGACGCCCAGCACACUUCUCUGUCUGAUUUUGCCCUCUGCUCUCCCUCUAGUCCCCUCCUUUCCUGUUUUCU
rnacentral:lncRNA from 1 species